CAUGCACACAUUAACCACGGAAGGAAGCUGCCAACUGGCCCGUUAAUCAUGCACCCACGAUUAGUGGGGAAAUCAAAACAGAUCCACAAUUGGUUGUGGUUCGUCGUUCACAUAAGCAGGAGGUGGUUGUAGCAGCUCGCAUCCUCCGCAAAGGCAGCCGUCGUGACCACUCCGGCAAGCGGCAGAUCCGAUCUGAUAAAUUGCUAGAUGUGCGCCGCCACCGUUGCCUGCACCACCGGUUCAACAAGGCUGCACGUCGGCGACCUUCCUCGUCUCUCGUUCCCAUAUCGCAUGGCCACAAUGCAUGUCUCCCAAGAAAGGCCAACAAUCCUGCUGCACUAUCUAUUGAUUUGUCACCGUCUUACUUCCUCCACGACUCAGAUGCUUCGGGCUGUCAGGGAAUACAACAUCAAGGACGACAUGGCAAACAAGAUCGAGGGGUUUGGGCAAGGGCACCCCAGCUUCUACCCGCCCACGUCAUGGAUCACGCCUUCAAUCACGAUGCCUAGGUCACAUUUGAAUUAGCGAAAUUCGACGUAUGGAAGCAGUUUGACUUUACUUGGCAGUAGAACUUCCUCUCUCUUUGUAAACUAACCAAGAAUUAGUAUGAACCAUGUGUAAUUAUGAUGAAAUAUGUUUCUCUUUAAUGGAAGGAAAAUAACAUUUUAUUGGGAGCAA